GCCUCAGAUGACAGACUAACGCCCGGGGAAUUCAUCUCCCUGAACGAGACUUUGGUCUCCGAUGGUGGAGCCUUUGCGUUAGGCUUCUUCUCGCCUACGAUUUCCACUCAACAGUUUCAGUUCCCUCGGAGGGAUAUUGAGGAAAGUGUGGAGUCAAAGCCUGCGAGAAAUUUCAAUUCGCUUCGUGCAGGGGGAGAAGGAACCGUAGCUUUGUACUCGGAGGAAGCUCAGAUCGUUGAAGGUUGACGAAAAGGAAGCUGAAGAUCAAUGACGAGGCUGCUUC
rnacentral:lncRNA from 1 species